AGUGAACGCUGGCGGUAGGCCUAACACAUGCAAGUCGGACGGCAGCACAGGAGAGCUUGCUCUCUGGGUGGCGAGUGGCGGACGGGUGAGGAAUACAUCGGAAUCUACUCUGUCGUGGGGGAUAACGUAGGGAAACUUACGCUAAUACCGCAUACGACCUACGGGUGAAAGCAGGGGACCUUCGGGCCUUGCGCGAUUGAAUGAGCCGAUGUCGGAUUAGCUAGUUGGCGGGGUAAGGCCCACCAAGGCGACGAUCCGUAGCUGGUCUGAGAGGAUGAUCAGCCACACUGGAACUGAGACACGGUCCAGACUCCUACGGGAGGCAGCAGUGGGGAAUAUUGGACAAUGGGCGCAAGCCUGCUCCAGCCAUACCGCGUGGGUGAAGAAGGCCUUCGGGUUGUAAAGCCCUUUUGUUGGGAAGGAAAUCCAGCUGGCUAAUACCCGGUUGGGAUGACGGUACCCAAAGAAUAAGCACCGGCUAACUUCGUGCCAGCAGCCGCAGUAA
rnacentral:rRNA from 1 species